UUACAAGUUGCCCAGUCACCCCGGCUUCUGAGAUGAAGAAUAUUAUUGAAGUCAAAUCUGGUGGCUAUCACACUCCAUGGAACUUGGGGCAACAUUUAGGUACCUCUACCCAGGAAAGAAUCUCUGAGAAAUAGGUGGCAGUUUCUCUAGCAGCAUAAGAAGAACCUUGAUAAGCAUCAUCCUUAAGUCCUGACAGCAGUGGAUGACUAGUCAGGAACCUGUCCAGGAAUAUCCAGCACAAUAAGCAUUGAAGAAACAAAUGGCAACGCAAGCUUAAAGAAUUCCAAGCCAUUAUGAACUGACUCUUCAAAUAAGUGCUUAUUUUCACAUAACCAGGGAGUUUCUGGAUUAACUUCCAUAUAAGACAUAUUUAUUAAAAGGUUUGCACCCCUAUUGCUGGCACUGGGUGGACCUCCCCAAACGCUCUGCCCUUGGUGCUCUUCUGCCGGUUAUUCUCGUCCAUGACCCCAGAGCCAGGGAGAAUCUCACCAGUGCAGCCCAGGGCACUUCUGAUAACAUCUGAGCAGAGUGAAGGAGAAGAAACGCACGA
rnacentral:lncRNA from 10 species